UACGUAGGGGGCAAGCGUUGUCCGGAUUUAUUGGGCGUAAAGCGCCCGCAGGCGGCCCGGCAAGUUUCAGGUGAAAUCUCCCGGCUUAACUGGGAGGGGUCCUGGAAAACUGCCAGGCUUGAGGCAGGGAGAGGGAUGUGGAAUUCCCGGUGUAGUGGUGAAAUGCGCAGAUAUCGGGAGGAACACCAAUGGCGAAGGCAGCUCGCUGGGACGGUACUGACGCUGAGGUGCGAAAGCGUGGGGAGCAAACAGG
rnacentral:rRNA from 1 species